rnacentral:rRNA from 1 species
CUUCCGGAGCUAACGCGUUAAGUAGACCGCCUGGGGAGUACGGCCGCAAGGUUAAAACUCAAAUGAAUUGACGGGGGCCCGCACAAGCGGUGGAGCAUGUGGUUUAAUUCGAUGCAACGCGAAGAACCUUACCUGGUCUUGACAUCCACAGAAYUYUSCAGAGAUGGAUUGGUGCCUUCGGGAACUGUGAGACAGGUGCUGCAUGGCUGUCGUCAGCUCGUGUUGUGAAAUGUUGGGUUAAGUCCCGCAACGAGCGCAACCCUUAUCCUUUGUUGCCAGCGGUCCGGCCGGGAACUCAAAGGAGACUGCCAGUGAUAAACUGGAGGAAGGUGGGGAUGACGUCAAGUCAUCAUGGCCCUUACGACCAGGGCUACACACGUGCUACAAUGGCGCAUACAAAGAGAAGCGACCUCGCGAGAGCAAGCGGACCUCAUAAA